CCUUAGUUACCAGCACGUUAUGGUGGGCACUCUAAGGAGACUGCCGGGUGACAAACCGGAGGAAGGUGGGGAUGACGUCAAGUCAUCAUGGCCCUUACGGCCUGGGCUACACACGUGCUACAAUGGUCGGUACAAAGGGUUGCCAAGCCGCGAGGUGGAGCUAAUCCCAUAAAACCGAUCGUAGUCCGGAUCGCAGUCUGCAACUCGACUGCGUGAAGUCGGAAUCGCUAGUAAUCGUGAAUCAGAAUGUCACGGUGAAUACGUUCCCGGGCCUU
rnacentral:rRNA from 1 species